rnacentral:rRNA from 1 species
ACGGAAGUCCUCAGUGGGGAAUUUUGGCCCCUGGGGGCAACCCUGAUCCAGCCAUGCCGCGUGCGGGAAGAAGGCCUUCGGGUUGUAAACCGCUUUUGUCAGGUCAGAAAAGGCUUAUGUGAAUAAUGUAAGCUGCUGACGGUACCUGAAGAAUAAGCACCGGCUAACUACGUGCCAGCAUCCGCGGUAAUACGUAGGGUGCAAGCGUUAAUCGGAAUUACUGGGCGUAAAGCGUGCGCAGGCGGUUUGGUAAGACAGGUGUGAAAUCACCGGGCUUAACCUGGGAACUGCAUUGGUGACUGCCAGACUAGAGUAUGUCAGAGGGGGGUGGAAUUCCACGUGUAGCAGUGAAAUGCGUAGAUAUGUGGAAGAACACCGAUGGCGAAGGCAGCCCCCUGGGGCAAAACUGACGCUCAUGCACGAAAGCGUGGGGAGCAAACAGGAUUAGAUACCCUGGUA